AAGUGAAACCGCUUAGCGCCGAUGGUAGUGUGGGGUCUCCCCAUGCGAGAGUAGGUCAUCGUCAGGC
rnacentral:rRNA from 1 species